UACGAAGGGGGCUAGCGUUGCUCGGAAUUACUGGGCGUAAAGGGCGCGUAGGCGGAUAGUUUAGUCAGAGGUGAAAGCCCAGGGCUCAACCUUGGAAUUGCCUUUGAUACUGGCUAUCUUGAGUUCGGGAGAGGUGAGUGGAAUGCCGAGUGUAGAGGUGAAAUUCGUAGAUAUUCGGCGGAACACCAGUGGCGAAGGCGACUCACUGGCCCGAUACUGACGCUGAGUGCGACGAAGCGUGGGGAGCAAACAGG
rnacentral:rRNA from 1 species